AUCACUUUUCGUCUCUCUGAGCUAAGAUCACGCGUAAUAUCUGUUCUUUGCAUUGUAAUUUAUUCAAUGGUCUCUAAACUGAGAAUCAAUGAAAUUACCCGUAUUUUUCAUCUGCGGACUGGUUCCUUGAGCUUGAUCAACCCCAUCCACCGGUCGGCUUCGUAUUUCAUCGCAUUAACUGUUUGACUAUGAGCUA
rnacentral:snRNA from 1 species